AAGUCGUAACAAGGUUUCCGUAGGUGAACCUGCGGAAGGAUCAUUAAAGAAUCGCCCCGUUUUUUGAAAUGGGUUCUAUUCCCAAACCGUGUAUAUAUACCUUUGUUGCUUCGGCAGGCCGCCUUCUAGGCGUCGGCUCCGGCUGACUGCGCCUGCCAGAGGACCCAAACUCAUUUGUUUAGUGAUGUCUGAGUACCAUAUAAUAGUUAAAACUUUCAACAACGGAUCUCUUGGUUCUGGCAUCGAUGAAGAACGCAGCGAAAUGCGAUAAGUAAUGUGAAUUGCAGAAUUCAGUGAAUCAUCGAAUCUUUGAACGCACAUUGCGCCCCUUGGUAUUCCGAGGGGCAUGCCUGUUCGAGCGUCAUUAUAACCACUCAAGCCUCGGCUUGGUCUUGGGGUUCGCGGUCUCGCGGCCCUUAAAAUCAGUGGCGGUGCCGUCUAGCUCUAAGCGUAGUAAUUUUCUCGCUAUAGGGUCCAGGCGACCACCUGCCAGAACCCUCCAUUCUUUACGGUUGACCUCGGAUCAGGUAGGGAUACCCGCUGAACUUAA
rnacentral:rRNA from 1 species